UACGAAGGGGGCUAGCGUUGCUCGGAAUCACUGGGCGUAAAGGGUGCGUAGGCGGGUCUUUAAGUCAGGGGUGAAAUCCUGGAGCUCAACUCCAGAACUGCCUUUGAUACUGAAGAUCUUGAGUUCGGGAGAGGUGAGUGGAACUGCGAGUGUAGAGGUGAAAUUCGUAGAUAUUAGGAAGAACACCGGUGGCGAAGGCGGCCCACUGGCGCGAUACUGACGCUGAGGUGCGAAAGCGUGGGGAGCAAACAGG
rnacentral:rRNA from 1 species